AUGGCCGUCGCGAGGCUGGUGGCCGCGCCAUUCCCCCUCGCCGCCGCCCGCGCCCGCGGCCCGCGGGCGCGGCUGCCGUUCGCGCCGCUCUCAGCGCGGCCCCUCUCCCGGCGCGCACUUGUGCCCGCUCUGCAGGUGGCGUCGGAGGGCAACGGCGGCGGCCUCGUCCCCGCCCGCCCGGACCAGGAGGCGGAGGACGCGGCGACGGCGCUGGCGCUGGCGCGGGUCGCGGUGUCGGAGCGCGCGGCUAGGAAGGAGUCGGAGCGGCGGACGUACCUGGUGGCCGCGCUCAUGUCCAGCCUCGGCAUCACCUCCAUGGCCGCCGCCGCCGUCUACUACCGAUUCGCCUGGCAAAUGGAGGGCGGCGAGAUUCCGGUGACGGAGAUGCUGGGCACCUUGGCACUGUCCGUGGGCGCCGCGGUGGGGAUGGAGUUCUGGGCGCGGUGGGCGCACCGGGCGCUGUGGCACGCGUCGCUGUGGGACAUGCACGAGUCGCACCACCUCCCCCGCGACGGGCCCUUCGAGCUCAACGACGUGUUCGCCAUCGUCAACGCCGUCCCGGCCAUGGCCCUCCUCGCCUUCGGCUUCUUCAACCGCGGCCUCGUCCCCGGCCUCUGCUUCGGCGCCGGUCUCGGGAUCACGCUGUUCGGGAUGGCCUACAUGUUCGUCCACGACGGCCUGGUCCACCGCCGCUUCCCAGUGGGCCCCAUCGAGAACGUGCCCUACUUCCGGCGAGUCGCCGCCGCGCACCAGAUCCAUCACAUGGACAAGUUCGACAGCGUGCCAUACGGGCUGUUCCUCGGCCCCAAGGAGCUGGAGGAGGUUGGAGGGACGGAGGAGCUGGAGAAGGAGGUGCAGAGGAGGAUCAGGAGGAGGCAGAAAUCAGACGCCAUGUAG
rnacentral:rRNA from 1 species